rnacentral:rRNA from 1 species
UGGGGAAUAUUGGACAAUGGGGGCAACCCUGAUCCAGCAAUGCCGCGUGUGUGAAGAAGGUCUUCGGAUUGUAAAGCACUUUCGACGGGGACGAUGAUGACGGUACCCGUAGAAGAAGCCCCGGCUAACUUCGUGCCAGCAGCCGCGGUAAUACGAAGGGGGCUAGCGUUGCUCGGAAUGACUGGGCGUAAAGGGCGUGUAGGCGGUUUACACAGUCAGAUGUGAAAUCCCCGGGCUUAACCUGGGAGCUGCAUUUGAUACGUGUAGACUAGAGUGUGAGAGAGGGUUGUGGAAUUUCCAGUGUAGAGGUGAAAUUCGUAGAUAUUGGGAAGAACGCCGGUGGCGAAGGCGGCAACCUGGCUCAUGACUGACGCUGAGGCGCGAAAGCGUGGGGAGCAAACAGGAUUAGAUACCCUGGUAGUCCACGCUGUAAACGAUGUGUGCUAGAUGUUGGGUAACUUUGUUAUUCAGUGUCGCAGUUAACGCGUU